AAGAGUAGCUGCUGCCUUGACAGUGACUAAUGGGGAUCCAUAAUAAACCCCAGGAAGAGUAGCUGCUGCCUUGGCAGGAACUAAUGGGGAUCCAUAAUAAACCCCAGGAAGAGUAGCUGCUGCCUUGACAGUGACUAAUGGGGAUCCAUAAUAAACCCCAGGAAGAGUAGCUGCUGACUUGGCAGGGAUCCCCAUGUCAUGCUAUUUAUGGUAUCCCAUGUGUGCACCUCUCAGGCAGGAUGAUCUAAUUAAUAGGAAUGAUUCAGUCUUCCCUAGGACCUAGUUCAUCACUGACUGCUUCAUGGUCCAGUCUGGAGGCCCCACUCUGAGGACAGAACAUUCAGACAUUUGUUGGGACCAAUCAACAAUUAGUUUGAUAUAAAACUAAUGGGCUCCCAAGCGGCACAGCGGUCUAAGGAACUGGUUCGAUUCCAGGCUGUAUCACAACCGGAGUGAUUGGGAGUCCCAUAGGGCUGCGCACAAUUGGCCCCAGCGUCAUCCGGGUUUGGCCAGGGUAGACCGUCAUUGUAAAUAAUAAUUUGUUCUUAACUGACUUGUCUUGUUAAAUAAAGGUUACAAAACCCUUCGCUGUCUGACCCUGAACUGAAGUGUCUUUCAAAUAGCAGCACUGACGUGAUAUGGCCACAGAUCAAGCAAUGCCCAGAUAAUAGCCAACAGAAAUUGUCAGAAUAAGUUAAUUCUAUUCCAUGUAUGUUAGCAUUUUGUUUAUGAUGAUGUAGCUAUGACCUACUGUCAAAUGGCACAGCUAGUCUGAUACUCUUGAGCUAGCUAACUAACUAGCUGAAGUUAGUUCUCAAAAUGAUCCACGUUUACCUUGAUCAUCAGGCAUCCCACAUGUCAACAUCAAGUCUCGGACCACCUGUCUCUACCCCAAGCCACAAGACUGCCCCAACAGCUGAACCCUGGGCUGACUCCUGCACCCUACCACACAUUUAUUAACAUUUAUUCAUAUUCUUUACACGCAGAAGUCAGUUUUGUCUACCUGACCAAUGCAAUAGUUCUGUCACCUUACUGCACUACUAAUGUAUAUACUUACAUAUAAGUAAUAUCAUUAUAUGCUGCAACUGCAUUGAGGGGCACAACUUUCAUUGGGGAUGGGGGGACAUGACCACCCCAACCAUAUUCUGAAAUUUCAUUUUUGUCCCCCCCAG
rnacentral:lncRNA from 13 species